UUACGAUCGGUAGGGGAGCAUUCUCACAGGGGUGAAGGUUUGGCGUAAGCUGGGCUGGACUGGUGAGAAAAGCAAAUGUAGGCAUAAGUAACGAUAAUGCGGAUGAGAAAUCCGCACACCGAAAGACUAAGGAUUCCUCCGCUAUGCUAAUCAACGGAGGGUUAGGCGGGGCCUAAGGUAUAGCCGACAGGCGAGUACCGAUGGACAGCAGGUUAAUAUUCCUGCCCUUGCAGUCAGUGUGAAGAAAUGACGGAGUAUUGUGGUGUGUACGUACUGACGGAAUAGUGCGUUGAGCGGAGCCUACGGGCGAAGCGAAUACACGAAAACGCUUCCAAGAAAAGUUUCUGAAACAUCAGCUGAUUGCAGCCCGUACCGUAAACCGACACAGGUAGUCGAGAAGAAUAUUCUAAGGUGCUCGAGUGAAUCACGGCUAAGGAACUCGGCAAAUUAACCCUGUAACUUCGGGAGAAGGGGAGCCUCCUCUGCAAAGAGAGGCCGCAGAGAAAUGGCCCAGGCGACUGUUUAGCAAAAACACAGGGCUCUGCCAAAACGAAAGUUGACGUAUAGGGCCUGACACCUGCCCGGUGCUGGAAGGUUAAGAGGGGAUGUCAUCGCAAGAGAAGCAUUGAAUCGAAGCCCCAGUAAACGGCGGCCGUAACUAUAACGGUCCUAAGGUAGCGAAAUUCCUUGUCGGGUAAGUUCCGACCUGCACGAAUGGUGUAACGAUCUGGGCACUGUCUCGGCCGUGAGCUCGGUGAAAUUGUAGUAGCGGUGAAGAUGCCGCUUACCCGCCACGGGACGGAAAGACCCCGUGCACCUUUACUAUAGCUUUGCAUUGUUUUUCGGGUCAGGGAUGUGUAGGAUAGGUGGGAGGCUGUGAGCCGGUGUCGCCAGGCAUCGGGGAGCCAACGUUGAAAUACCACCCUUCGCUGGCCUGGGAUCUAACUGCUCUAUGAGCAGGACCGUGCAUGGUGGGUAGUUUGACUGGGGUGGUCGCCUCCAAAAGUGUAACGGAGGCUUCCAAAGGUCUGCUCAACACGCUUGGUAACCGUGUGUGGAGUGCAAUAGUACAAGCAGGCUUGACUGCGAGACCGACGGGUCGAGCAGGUGGGAAACCAGGGUAUAGUGAUCCGGUGGUUCUGUAUGGAAGGGCCAUCGCUCAAAGGAUAAAAGGUACGCCGGAUAACAGGCUGAUCUCCCCCAAGAGCUCACAUCGACGGGGAGGUUUGGCACCUCGAUGUCGGCUCGUCACAUCCUGGGGCUGGAGAAGGUCCCAAGGGUUCGGCUGUUCGCCGAUUAAAGUGGCACGCGAGCUGGGUUCAGAACGUCGUGAGACAGUUCGGUCCCUAUCUGUGGUGGGCGUAGGAAGAUUGACGGGGGCUGCCUUUAGUACGAGAGGACCGAGGUGGACCCACCGCUGGUGAACCGGUUGUCACGCCAGUGGCAUGGCCGGGUAGCUAUGUGGGGAAUAGAUAAGCGCUGAAAGCAUCUAAGUGCGAAACUAGCCCGAAGAUGAAUCUUCCACACAAGGGUCGUUGUAGACUACGACGUUGAUAGGCUGCAGGUAUACGUGUAGAAAUACAUUCAGCCGAGCAGUACUAAUUACCC
rnacentral:rRNA from 1 species